rnacentral:rRNA from 1 species
AUACGGAGGAUGCGAGCGUUAUCCGGAUUUAUUGGGUUUAAAGGGAGCGUAGGUGGGAUAUUAAGUCAGCUGUGAAAGUUUGGGGCUCAACCUUAAAAUCGCAGUUGAUACUGGUUUCCUUGAGUACGGUACAGGUGGGCGGAAUUCGUGGUGUAGCGGUGAAAUGCUUAGAUAUCACGAAGAACUCCGAUCGCGAAGGCAGCUCACCGGGCCGGAACUGACACUGAUGCUCGAAAGUGCGGGUAUCAAACAGGAUUAGAUACCCUGGUAGUCCGCACAGUAAACGAUGAAUACUCGCUGUUUGCGAUACACGGUAAGCGGCCAAGCGAAAGCGUUAAGUAUUCCACCUGGGGAGUACGCCGGCAACGGUGAAACUCAAAUGAAUUGACGGGG